rnacentral:rRNA from 1 species
GACGAACGCUGGCGGCGUGCUUAACACAUGCAAGUCGAACGAAGUGGCGAACGGGUGAGUAACGCGUAAUCAACCUGCCCUUCCGCGGGGGACCACAGUUGAAAACGACUGCUAAUACCGCAUACUGCAGGAGGUGAUUGCGUUGGAUUAGCUAGUUGGAGGGGUAACGGCCCACCAAGGCGAUGAUCAGUAGCCGUGCUGAGAGGAGGACCGGCCACAAUGGGACUGAGACACGGCCCAGACUCCUACGGGAGGCAGCAGUGGGGAAACUUCCGCAAUGGACGAAAGUCUGACGGAGCAACGCCGCGUGAGUGAAGAAGGCCUUCGGGGUGUAAAGCUCUGUUAAUCGAGACGCGGUAACGGAAUAGAAAGGCACGGCUAACUACGUGCCAGCAGCCGCGGUAAUAC